AUGAUCAGGCCGUCGAGCAAGCAAGGCAGCUACAAGCUUCCCUAUCACAACACAAAUUGGAGCCUCCAAUUACCAGCAACCACGAUGACAUUACAAUCUACACUGAACAAGCGAGAAAGACAAGUUUCUGGGCACAUAGACAGUGUUUACUGUCCAUCUCCAGAUUCACCCUUGGGAGCAUCCUUCAUUUCUUCAGCAGCGUCCUCCUAUGUCAGAAGUCCACAGCGUCAGGUUAUCACGCAGAAGCUGCAUGAUCAAAGUGCUGUCCUUGUAGGACUCCUCGCUCAGAGAGUCCAGUUCCGAGAUGGCCUCAUCAAAAGCCUGACACGAGCAACACAAGAGUGA
rnacentral:rRNA from 1 species